rnacentral:rRNA from 1 species
UACGGAGGGUGCGAGCGUUGUCCGGAAUCACUGGGCGUAAAGGGCGCGUAGGCGGCCCGGUAAGUAGGAGGUGAAAUCCUGCGGCUUAACCGCAGGGCUGCCUUCUAAACUGCCAGGCUUGAGCACAGUAGAGGCAGGUGGAAUUCCCGGUGUAGCGGUGGAAUGCGUAGAGAUCGGGAAGAACAUCGGUGGCGAAGGCGGCCUGCUGGGCUGUUGCUGACGCUGAGGCGCGACAGCGUGGGGAGCAAACAGG